GUAUCUAUUAAUUCGAAAAAUUAAGUCACGAUUGUUUAACAAAAACAUUUCUUUUUUAUAAAAUAAAAAGUAUAACCUGCCCACUGAAAAUUUAAGGGCCGCGGUAUUAUGACCGUGCAAAGGUAGCAUAAUCACUAGCCUUUUAAUUAGAGGAUUGUAUGAAUGGUUGAACGUGGCUUUGUUUUAUUUAUUUAAAUAUAUUGAAAUAAAAUUUUAAGUGAAAAUGCUUAAAUGACUAAUUAGACGAUAAGACCCUAUAGAGCUUUAUAUAUGUAUUCUGUUAAGUAUUAAAAUUUUUAUUAGUUAAUAACCAGGUUGUAUAUUUUAUUGGGGCAAUAAAAGAAUAAAAUUAACUUCUUAUUAAUAAAUUUUAUUUAAUUAAUUAACUUCUAAGUAUAAAAUUUAAUAGAAGUUACCUUAGGGAUAACAGCGUUAUUAAAGUUGAGAGUUCUUAUCGACACUUUAGAUUGCGACCUCGAUGUUGAAUUAAAAAUUCUUUGAGGGGCAGCAUUUUUAUUAGAUGGUCUGUUCGACCAUUAAAUUUUUACAUGAUUUGAGUUCAAACCGGUGUGAGCCAGGUUGGUUUCUAUCUUUUAGUUUAAUUUUAGUGUUUUAGUACGAAAGGAUUAAGCAUUAAAUUAUUUAUUUA